AAGGAGCAUUUAGUGCCGUAUCAAACCCGUUCGUGGUUUGGCGGUCGCUCAUAUUAUUGGGUGGAACACUGACACGGUAAUUCUUAUCGCCUCGUGGCCGGCUGGUGCUGGUCGUUGGGGGUUUCGUCGGCACACUGUUGGGUGUCUGAGAGGACACGUCUUCUCUAGUUUGCUGCUGCGCGUCUGCGCCGGCGUAGUGGGCCCUGUGGGGUUCAUAGCUGGUGGCGGUGUGGUGGUGUGUGUUGUUUGAGAAUUGUAUAGUGGACGCGAGCAUCAACAUGACGCUGCAUCGUUUUCGGUGUGGUUGUUGUAUUAUGUUUCUGUAAUUUUACAUGUUUCUGUGUAAGCAUUUUGUUGUGUUUUUUUGGCGCUUAUGUCAUGAAGGGCACUCAGGUUUGUGACGGCUUCGGUUGUUUCAGGUUUGGUGUGUGUUUUGUGUGUU
rnacentral:misc_RNA from 1 species